rnacentral:rRNA from 1 species
ACUCCUACGGGAGGCAGCAGUGAGGAAUAUUGGUCAAUGGGCGCAAGCCUGAACCAGCCAUCCCGCGUGCAGGAAGACGGCCCUAUGGGUUGUAAACUGCUUUUCUGGAGGAAGAAACACUCUGUCGUGACGGGGCUUGACAGUACUUCAGGAAUAAGCAUCGGCUAACUCCGUGCCAGCAGCCGCGGUAAUACGGAGGAUGCGAGCGUUAUCCGGAUUCAUUGGGUUUAAAGGGUGCGUAGGCGGAUUAAUAAGUCAGUGGUGAAAUCCUGCAGCUUAACUGUAGAAUUGCCAUUGAUACUGUUGGUCUUGAGUUUGGUUAAGGUAGGCGGAAUGUGUAAUGUAGCGGUGAAAUGCUUAGAUAUUACCCAGAACACCAAUUGCGAAGGCAGCUUACUGGACCGAUACUGACGCUGAGGCACGAAAGCGUGGGGAGCAAACAGGAUUAGAUACCCUGGUAGUC